rnacentral:rRNA from 1 species
AGUCGAGGGGUAUAGUUCUUCGGAACUAGAGACCGGCGCACGGGUGCGUAACGCGUAUGCAAUCUACCUUUUACAGAGGGAUAGCCCAGAGAAAUUUGGAUUAAUACCUCAUAGUAUAUAGCCCUGGCAUCAGGAUUAUAUUAAAGUCACAACGGUAAAAGAUGAGCAUGCGUCCCAUUAGCUAGUUGGUAAGGUAACGGCUUACCAAGGCUACGAUGGGUAGGGGUCCUGAGAGGGAGAUCCCCCACACUGGUACUGAGACACGGACCAGACUCCUACGGGAGGCAGCAGUGAGGAAUAUUGGACAAUGGGCGCAAGCCUGAUCCAGCCAUGCCGCGUGCAGGAUGACGGUCCUAUGGAUUGUAAACUGCUUUUAUACGAGAAGAAACAUUCCUACGUGAAGGAACUUGACGGUAUCGUAAGAAUAAGGAUCGGCUAACUCCGUGCCAGCAGCCGCGGUAAUACGGAGGAUCCAAGCGUUAUCCGGAAUCAUUGGGUUUAAAGGGUCCGUAGGCGGUUUAAUAAGUCAGUGGUGAAAGCCCAUCGCUCAACGGUGGAACGGCCAUUGAUACUGUUAGACUUGAAUUAUUAGGAAGUAACUAGAAUAUGUAGUGUAGCGGUGAAAUGCUUAGAGAUUACAUGGAAUACCAAUUGCGAAGGCAGGUUACUACUAAUUGAUUGACGCUGAUGGACGAAAGCGUGGGUAGCGAACAGGAUUAGAUACCCUGGUAGUCCACGCCGUAAACGAUGGAUACUAGCUGUUGGAAGCAAUUUCAGUGGCUAAGCGAAAGUGAUAAGU